GUGGGUAGUUUGACUGGGGCGGUCUCCUCCCAAAGCGUAACGGAGGAGCACGAAGGUUAGCUAAUCCUGGUCGGACAUCAGGAGGUUAGUGCAAUGGCAUAAGCUAGCUUGACUGCGAGCGUGACGGCGCGAGCAGGUGCGAAAGCAGGUCAUAGUGAUCCGGUGGUUCUGAAUGGAAGGGCCAUCGCUCAACGGAUAAAAGGUACUCCGGGGAUAACAGGCUGAUACCGCCCAAGAGUUCAUAUCGACGGCGGUGUUUGGCACCUCGAUGUCGGCUCAUCACAUCCUGGGGCUGAAGUAGGUCCCAAGGGUAUGGCUGUUCGCCAUUUAAAGUGGUACGCGAGCUGGGUUUAGAACGUCGUGAGACAGUUCGGUCCCUAUCUGCCGUGGGCGCUGGAGAAUUGAGGGGGGCUGCUCCUAGUACGAGAGGACCGGAGUGGACGCAUCACUGGUGUUCGGGUUGUCAUGCCAAUGGCACUGCCCGGUAGCUAAAUGCGGAAGAGAUAAGUGCUGAAAGCAUCUAAGCACGAAACUUGCCCCGAGAUGAGUUCUCCCUGAGACUUUAAGUCUCCUGAAGGAACGUUAAAGACGAUGACGUUGAUAGGCCGGGUGUGUAAGCGCAGCGAUGCGUUGAGCUAACCGGUACUAAUGAACCGUGAGGCUU
rnacentral:rRNA from 1 species